AUACGGAGGAUGCGAGCGUUAUCCGGAUUUAUUGGGUUUAAAGGGAGCGUAGGUGGGAUAUUAAGUCAGCUGUGAAAGUUUGGGGCUCAACCUUAAAAUUGCAGUUGAUACUGGUUUCCUUGAGUACGGUACAGGUGGGCGGAAUUCGUGGUGUAGAGGUGAAAUGCUUAGAUAUCACGAAGAACUCCGAUCGCGAAGGCAGCUCACCGGGCCGGAACUGACACUGAUGCUCGAAAGUGCGGGUAUCAAACAGGAUUAGAUACCCUGGUAGUCCGCACAGUAAACGAUGAAUACUCGCUGUUUGCGAUACACGGUAAGCGGCCAAGCGAAAGCGUUAAGUAUUCCACCUGGGGAGUACGCCGGCAACGGUGAAACUCAAAUGAAUUGGCGGGG
rnacentral:rRNA from 1 species